GACGAACGCUGGCGGCGUGCUUAACACAUGCAAGUCGAACGGAGUGGCGAACGGGUGAGUAACGCGUAAUCAACCUUCCCUUCCGAGGGGGACAACAGUUGGAAACGACUGCUCAUACCGCAUACUGCAGUGUGGGUUUGCGUGUGAUUAGCUAGUUGGGGGGGUAACGGCCCACCAAGGCGAUGAUCAGUCGCCGGUCUGGGAGGAUGAAAGGCCACAUUGGGCACUGGAAACGGGCCAGACUCCUACGGGAGGCAGCAGGGGGGAAUUUUCCGAAAUGGAGGGAAGGCUGACGGAACAACGCCGGGGUAGAGAUGACGGGCUUCGGGUUGGAAAGCUCUGUUAAGCGGGAAGCAGUACCGGAAUAGAAAGCAACGGCUAACUACGUGCCAGCAGCCGCGGUAAUUC
rnacentral:rRNA from 1 species